GAGGGCUACUCCAUUUCUAUAGUUCUCUCUACUGAAAAAAGGAGGAAAAAAUCCGCUGGUCGGCGGUGCAGCAGUGUGGAGACCUGUUGUAACACAAAAAGAAGACUCUUUUUGUAAGGUAUAUCUGCGGAGGCAAGUAUGCCACGACCGAGACUAUGUC
rnacentral:ncRNA from 1 species